CUCGUUUUUUCCUCCCGAGUUCUCAGUUGCUACGAACACUCGGAAAUCUAGUUUACUGUCGUUUUGACCGCGGCAAGAGCGCUUGGUCUUUGUCGCAGAAGUGGGAGGGAACGCUUGGGCCGUCCUGUAUUUUUAUUGGUGUUUUGGAAUGGAAAGUGGAAUCCAGAGCUAUGAUUGGUUACGUUGCCGGCGAUAUAAAAGUUAUAGAAUCACAUUUCCUUCUUUCUCUAACAAGGCGAAGGAAGGCUUCGCCGUUGUUUAACUCCGACCAACAUCAGCGUCACCCUCGGUCACGAAUUUGGCAACAUGUCUAAAGGACCGGCAGUUGCCAUUGAUCUCGGGAGCAUCUACUCCUGCUUGGAGUGUGUUCCCGAUGUGUUCCAGCAUGGCAAGGUUGAAAUCAUUGCCAACGACCAGUGCAACAGGACCACAGGACCACUUCAAGUUAUGUUUCCUUCAGACUUGUUGGUAAUGCCGUCAAUAAUCGGGUUACCAUGAACCCUGCCACACAGUAUUCGACAGUCAACAAUGUAGUCGUUCCCGUGCCUGCUUAAUUCAACAACUCCCAGCUCCAGGCAUCAAAAGAUGCUGGCACCAUCUCAGGCCUGAAUGUACUGCAUAUCAUCAAUGAGCCAACUGCUGCUGCCAUUGCCUACGGCUUGGAUAAGAAGGUGUAUGAGGGUGAGGGCCAUGACCAAGGACAAACACCUGUUGGGCAAGUUUGAGCUGACUAGAAUCCCCCCUGCACCUCGAAGUUCCUCAGAUUGAGGUCACCUUUGACAUUGAUGCUAACGACAUCAUGAAGGUGUCUGCAGCUGACAAGCACACUGGCAAGGAGGACAAGAUCACUAUCACCAAUGACAUGGACUGCUGAGAAGUAAGAGUAUGAGCACCACCAGAAAGAGCAUCACCAAGUUGUACCACGGUGCUGGUAUGCCCGACCGCAUGGCUGGUGGAUUCCCCGGAGCUGGUGGCGCGGCUCAUGGAGGCGGUGGGUUAUCUUGACUGACUUGAGGAAGUCGACUAAACCAUUCCACGGUUUCUGCAACUACCUCCCCCUCACAUUGACUUCAAUUGCUUUGCAGAUAGAUUUAGAAAACGGUUAUUGCGGUUUCUGUCAGACUACAUAUGGUAGGGUAAUUUUGCUGAAUUAUCCCAAUGUAGUAACUCAGUCUAUCGUUGGUAGAUUUCUUUCAACAGCACAAUUUACUUGAUGCAUUUGAUGAUACUUUAUUCAGAAAUGUAUGGAUGCAAGGAAAGAAUGAUGAGAAAUGAUGAGAAACAUGAUAGUUUUAAUACAAAUUACACACGUUCAGCUUUCAAACAAGGAACAGUACUGCCCUAUUGCACAGCUCUUGUAUCUGUCUUUAAUAAGCAAAACGCAGCAGCUCUUAUGGUGUGGUGGCCAAUUAUAUCUUAAAUGUCUCCCCUGUGUCCAUCUCUUUUUCCAUGUUUCCCCUUCCCAAACAAAGGGAGUUCAUCGGUGAAAAAUAGAGGUAGGGUUGUAGACAGUUGAGGGACUGAAUAUAAUAAACCGUAGGCGCUGGCAACCACUACAGAAUGUCCGGUCAGAUCAAGGAUGAUGAGAAAGUCCAGGGUAAUGGGAAUUUAAAACUUGUUCGGAAUCGGUGUACCGUCCUUAGGACGGUUGAGCUAACGUAGGCUAUUGCGAUUAGCAUGAUGUAUGUACAAGAACAUUUCCCAGGACAUAGACAGUUUGAUAUUGGCAGAAAGCUUAUUCUUGUUAAUCUAACUGCAUUGUUU